rnacentral:lncRNA from 1 species
UCGCGCUGCCAGCAGCUUCCGCCUGCUGCGGUCCUGGCAAGCACCUCGGGAUCUCAUUCCUUCACAGGGGCCCUAGCCGGUUAAAGCUGAUACAUUCCUGUGGGUCAACUAUGCAACUAACUCAGAUUUUGAGCAAACAAAGCUCUCAAGUUGGUGAUCCUCAGGAGUCUCUGCAUUAGUUGGACAGCUCUUCUGGAAUUAUCUUCUAAGUCAACUGUGGGUUGGGUAGGUGGCUCUGCUGAUUUUUUGCUGGACUUCCACAUUUGGGACCAGUUGGCUGUCAUCAGCUCUAGAAAGGGUGUGGCUGUUUUACAUUGGCUGUUUUCCUCACAUUCCUCAAGCAGGUACUGUAAUAAAGAACUGGAGAAAUAAAGUCAGAUGGGAAGUAGCCCCUGCUGUCAAGGAGCUUGCCAUCUAAUGGGGGAGACAGGCAAGUAAACCAAAGACUACACAGUGCAGUAUGAAUUUCCUUUUCAUCACUUGUAAAAGUCAACUCUCUAACUACUGCAUCUCACAGCUGAACAGAUAACUGAUACCGUGCUUCCAGAAGAUUUUUCUAACAGUGUUUGCAGGCUAUAAAAUAGUGCUUUCACUUAGAAAAGGCCAGACAUGGUGGUUCAUGCCUGUAAUCCCUAGCACUUUGAGAGGCCAAGGCACCAUGCCGGGAGAUAAGGAUC